UUUCCCCUGCGGUGUGCGUCAGCGGCCUUGAUUUGAAAGAACCGAUACAAACCCUCAGGGAGGCCGGAUCGCUUGGAUCGGACAUGCCUGCUCGACAGGACGUUCGGACGUGUGCAAACGGCCACCCACUUUGAUAUGAGGGUUCUUCAAUGACCGCCGCAACGGCAUCCGCGGAGGAGAC
rnacentral:other from 1 species